rnacentral:rRNA from 1 species
UCUUCGGAAUGAAAGUUUUGUGACUGAGUGGCGGACGGGUGAGUAACGCGUGGGUAACCUGCCUCAUACAGGGGGAUAACAGUUAGAAAUGACUGCUAAUACCGCAUAAGACCACAGGACCGCAUGGUGCGGUGGUAAAAACUCCGGUGGUAUGAGAUGGACCCGCGUCUGAUUAGCUAGUUGGUAAGGUAACGGCUUACCAAGGCGACGAUCAGUAGCCGACCUGAGAGGGUGACCGGCCACAUUGGGACUGAGACACGGCCCAAACUCCUACGGGAGGCAGCAGUGGGGAAUAUUGCACAAUGGGGGAAACCCUGAUGCAGCGACGCCGCGUGAGCGAUGAAGUAUUUCGGUAUGUAAAGCUCUAUCAGCAGGGAAGAAUUAGGACGGUACCUGACUAAGAAGCACCGGCUAAAUACGUGCCAGCAGCCGCGGUAAUACGUAUGGUGCAAGCGUUAUCCGGAUUUACUGGGUGUAAAGGGAGCGUAGACGGAGAGGCAAGUCUGAUGUGAAACCCGGGGCUCAACCCCGGGACUGCAUUGGAAACUGUUUUUCUAGAGUGUCGGAGAGGUAAGUGGAAUUCCUAGUGUAGCGGUGAAAUGCGUAGAUAUUAGGAGGACACCAGUGGCGAAGGCGGCUUACUGGAUGAUGACUGAC